rnacentral:misc_RNA from 1 species
GUACCCUCAAGCUUUGCUUGGUGUUGGGCGUCUUUUGUCUCCAGUUCGCUGGAGACUCGCCUUAAAGUCAUUGGCAGCCGGCCUACUGGUUUCGGAGCGCAGCACAAGUCGCGCUCUUUGCCAGCCAAGGUCAGCGUCCAGCAAGCCUUUUUUUUUCAACCU